CCAGUCCAUUAUAAUUCUGAUGAUAGGGGUCGGACAGGUUUUAAUUCUCCGGAGUUUCUUCACGGACAAACGAGGAUCGAAACCAUAACUGUAGUGGAAAAAUAGAGUUUAUUUAAAUUGUGUAAUUGUAUGUGUGUUUCUGUGAGAGAGAGAGAGAGAGAGUACAAUGGUUUCAGAAUGGUUAUAUCAAAAAAGUCCUUUUUUUAACGAAUGAAAGAUUUAGUGACUGUGAAUAUGUUUGAAUGACAUUGCUUAUUACAUUGAGGUUAAAUAUCACUCAGAGAGAGAGAGAGAGAGAGAUAAAGUGAAAGAAAGAAAGUGAAUCACUCAGCCUGUGAGGGAAAAUCUUCCACAAAGACUGAGACAUCGGUUUUGCUCAAGCUGUAAAAGGCAAGUGUCAUCUCUCCUUGGGUGUUUCAUUUUGUACAACAUCAUCAGUGUUACAGCGAAUAAUGCAGGAAAGUGGUCAACUCACAAAAAAUGCUGAAAAUCAGUUUGGAUUUUUUUGUCUACAAAAAAUGAUGCAUUCAAAGCAAUGACAAUUACAGUCAUUUUGUUUGUAAUGUUAUCCCAACACUGUUUUUAAAUUUUGAAAGAAACUGUAUAAAACUGUAUUGUUACCAUGGUUAGGACAUAUAUAUGCUUUUGCAGUUUUUGACAAAAACUUACAAAUGUAUUAUUGUUUGUAUUUAAUGGUUUUAAUGUCUCAAAUAACAACAGUCUGUACAGAACAUUUCCACUGAGUCAAUCUGUAUAUAUACACUGUGUACAGGUUUAUUCUUGCCCAUGCUUUUUUCUUCCUUCCUUUUUUUUUUGCACUUUACAAUUGCAAAUGGUUUUGCCCCUUCUGUAAUUCCCCAGACGGAAUAGUGCUUGUAUCAUAGAUUCUCCUUCUUAUUAACAAAGUAGUAAAAUAAAUGUGAAUUUUCCCAGUCAGAAAUUUGUCCACUGACAAAGAGGAUGAACGGGAUGAUAAUAAAAUGGGAACAAAUAUUUCCAUUUGUACAGUAUAAUGAUUUAUAUUUAUUGAAUUGGAAAAGUAACAAUUUAACGAAAUCCAACAUAGAAAAUGUAGGACCGACUCUCUGAUCAAAAUAAGUUUGGUUAAAAAGAUUGAUAGUGGUGUAACAAUAUGUUAUGUAAAAGAAAAUUUCCUGACUUAGAUAAGUAAAAUGUGACACUACCUGUACAUGUAUAUAAUUGGUGUGUUUUGUAUUGUGUAUAUACACCAAUGAGUUUGUGUAUGUUUCUUUUAUCAGUGAAGUCUUAUUAACUCUGGUUGCUAUGUUUAGAAUUAACAAGGAUAAAGUUAAUUAAGCAAAGUUUUUUUUACAUAUUUAUUUAUGUAUCAUUUAAAAGUGUACAUUAAUAUGUCAUUGUUAAUAUUCAUAAUGGCACAAAAAAGAAAGAGAAAAAUAGAGAAAUACUUUUCUUUGAGCUCUAACAUGUUCAACUUCAUAAAGGAAACAUUAUGAUAAUAGUUUUAUAUUUUCAUUCUGAAAUAAAUACUGUUAACCAACAUUUAUUUGCAGCGACUUUAUUUCGCGAUUAACUACCAAUAAACUUGUUCGCAACGACUAAUGUUCGUAACCAAGCCUUAUCCAGACCUGUAUUUGUUUUAACAACCAUACGAUAAAGACUGGUUUGUGGCGAGAAAUAUUCGCGAAGAUGAGGCUCUCGUGAACCUCGCGAAAAUUUCUCGAACGCGAAUAUAAGUUGGUUUACAGUAUUAUCAGUAAAGAAUGUUAAAUUGAAUUGAAUUAAAAAAAGAAUUUGUAAAGCCUUAUUGUUCAUAGUACUUCGCUUCAGCCUGGAUGUAUUUUUGUAGCAGGGCCACUUUAAACAUAGUAUUAUAGUGCUACUUGGUACUUCUUGUCAAAUACAGCAUAUGUCAGCUAGAAAAAAGUAUACCUCAACAUUCAUCUAUCACAAGGACAAACUGUCUGGAAUUUAGUUCUUUUUUUUUCUUUCCUACGUUACAUUUUGUUCUUUUCUAAUAUUAGAUUGUGUCAUCAAUUAAAAAAACAUUGAGUGAGUAAUAUGAUUUUUGUUUGUUUGGUCAAAUGAAAUUACUGGUACUCAAAGAAUUUAACAAGACACACAAGUUAAUUUUACUUGAAAUGUCGUAUUAUAACAAUGAUCUACAUAAAGGAAUGCUUAUUUUAUUUUGUUCAAAAGUUUCACUGUUGUAUUUUUUUCAUUGUGGUUUGUCCUAUGCUGUAAUUAAAAUGUCAUUUGAAGCA
rnacentral:misc_RNA from 1 species